rnacentral:tRNA from 1 species
GAGCCGCUAGCUCAGUUGGUAGAGCAUCUGACUUUUAAUCAGAGGGUCGAAGGUUCGAAUCCUUCGCGGCUCA